GACGAACGCUGGCGGCGUGCCUAAUACAUGCAAGUCGAACGAGAGCGACCGGUGCUUGCACUGGUCAAUCUAGUGGCGAACGGGUGAGUAACACGUGGGUAACCUGCCCAUCAGAGGGGGAUAACAUCCGGAAACGGAUGCUAAAACCGCAUAGGUCUUCGAGCCGCAUGGCUUGAAGAGGAAAAGAGGCGCAAGCUUCUGCUGAUGGAUGGACCCGCGGUGCAUUAGCUAGUUGGUGAGGUAACGGCUCACCAAGGCCGUGAUGCAUAGCCGACCUGAGAGGGUGAUCGGCCACAUUGGGACUGAGACACGGCCCAAACUCCUACGGGAGGCAGCAGUAGGGAAUCUUCCGCAAUGGACGCAAGUCUGACGGAGCAACGCCGCGUGAGUGAAGAAGGUUUUCGGAUCGUAAAACUCUGUUGUUAGAGAAGAACAAGUGCUAGAGUAACUGUUAGCGCCUUGACGGUAUCUAACCAGAAAGCCACGGCUAACUACGUGCCAGCAGCCGCGGUAAUACGUAGGUGGCAAGCGUUGUCCGGAUUUAUUGGGCGUAAAGCGAGCGCAGGCGGUUCCUUAAGUCUGAUGUGAAAGCCCCCGGCUCAACCGGGGAGGGUCAUUGGAAACUGGGGAACUUGAGUGCAGAAGAGGAGAGUGGAAUUCCAUGUGUAGCGGUGAAAUGCGUAGAUAUAUGGAGGAACACCAGUGGCGAGGCGACUCUCUGGUCUGUAACUGACGCUGAGGCUCGAAAGCGUGGGUAGCAAACAGG
rnacentral:rRNA from 1 species